GGGUGAAAUAGUGUCAUAUCUUGGUCACUGAUUUAAAGCAUGGACCACGGGUAAAGUGCUGGCCGCGAAGGGCGCGCGAGGAGCCGCCACCCGCUCAGCGUGGGCUUUGGUGUCGGGGUCGUUGUGUGUUGACAAUCACUCCAGUAGCCGUUUCCGAUACAGCAUGUGCGGCCUCUUUAGCCUUGAGCGGGCUCCGCGGCUGCCUGGCGGGCUUGGCUAGUGCCUGAUCCUUCUCUCCGCAGAGCCCAUGCCAAGCAGCGACCCUGAGC
rnacentral:lncRNA from 1 species